UGGCCGGUGCUGUACCUCCGUGGGUUUGGAACUUAGUGGCUGGGGGGCCCCGGGCCCGAGUGCCGACUUGCGCGCGGUCCUCCCAGCCCCGCUCUCCCUCGGGCUCGGUCCGCCCUCUGCAGACGGCCUUUCCUGCAGACGGCCCCUGGGACCCGCGUACCUUUGAGGCCUUCAGAAGGUUCUUACAAAGGUAGUGGAAAGGAGCUACCUGAGCUCUUCUACCCCUAAAUGGCUACAGAAUCAAGAAAGCCUUCAGCCCCAUCUCCACCAGACCAAGCUCCUGAGGAGGAUCUUGUCAUCAUCAAGGUAGAAGAAGACCAUGGUUGGGACCAGGAAUGUGGCCUGCAUGAAAGUAACCCUCCUGGCCAAGAACUAUUUCGCCAACGCUUCAGACGGUUGUGUUACCAAGAGACACUAGGACCCCGAGAAGCUCUGAUUCAACUCCGGGCACUUUGCCAUCAGUGGCUUAGGCCAGACUUGAACACCAAGGAGCAGAUCCUGGAGCUACUGGUGCUUGAGCAAUUCCUGACCAUUCUACCUGAGGAGCUGCAGGCUCUAGUUAAAGAACAUCAGUUAGAGAAUGGAGAGGAAGUGGUGACCCUAUUGGAAGAUUUGGAAAGGCAGAUCGAUAUACUGGGGCGGCCUGUCCCAGCUCGUGCACAUGGCCAUAGGGUACUUUGGGAGGAGAUAUUGCCUUCAGAAUCUUCACCAAGUACUCAUCUCCAACCUGUGGCAACCCAGCGUAAAUCUCCAGUGCCCCAAAAGCCUCAAGAAAGUGCCAUGUGUACUUCUCAAAGUCCUACCCCUUCUCAGAAAGGAAGUUCUGGAAACCAGGAGAUGACAGCUACACUUCUCACAGCAGGGUUCCAGACAUUGGAGAAGAUCGAAGACAUGGCUGUGUCUCUUAUUCAAGAGGAGUGGCUUCUUGAUCCGAGUAAAGAUAACAGGCCAGAGAAUUACAGAAAUAUGUUCUCCCUGGGUGGUGAGUCCAGGAAUGAGAACAAGGAAUUAGCUUCAAAACAGGUAAUAUCUCCUGGAAUCCAACCACAUGGAGAGACAACUGCCAAAUGCAACGGGGAUGUUAUCGGGGGUUUUAAGCAUGGAGAAGCCCGAGACUCUUUGGGCAGAUUAGAAAGGCAGCGGGGAAAUCCCACCCAAGAGAAACGACAUAAGUGUGAUGAAUGUGGAAAAAGCUUUGCUCAGAGCUCAGGCCUUGUUCGCCACUGGAGAAUCCACACUGGAGAGAAACCCUAUCAGUGUAAUGUGUGUGGGAAAGCCUUCAGUUACAGGUCAGCCCUUCUUUCCCAUCAGGAUAUCCACAACAAAGUAAAACGCUAUCACUGUAAGGAAUGUGGUAAAGCCUUCAGUCAAAACACAGGCCUGAUCCUGCACCAGAGAAUUCACACUGGGGAGAAGCCAUAUCAGUGCAAUCAGUGUGGAAAGGCUUUCAGUCAGAGUGCGGGCCUUAUUCUGCACCAGAGAAUCCACAGUGGGGAACGACCCUAUGAAUGUAAUGAAUGUGGGAAAGCUUUCAGUCAUAGCUCACACCUCAUUGGACAUCAAAGAAUCCACACCGGGGAGAGGCCCUAUGAGUGUGAUGAAUGUGGGAAAACGUUCAGGCGGAGUUCACAUCUUAUUGGUCAUCAGAGGAGUCACACUGGGGAGAAACCUUACAAAUGCAAUGAGUGUGGGAGGGCCUUCAGUCAAAAGUCAGGCCUUAUUGAACACCAGAGAAUCCACACUGGAGAAAGACCCUAUAAGUGUAAAGAAUGUGGGAAAGCUUUCAAUGGGAACACUGGUCUCAUUCAACAUUUGAGAAUCCACACAGGAGAAAAGCCUUAUCAAUGCAAUGAGUGUGGGAAAGCGUUUAUUCAGAGGUCCAGUCUGAUUCGACAUCAGAGAAUCCACAGUGGAGACAAAUCUGAAACUAUAGGAGUUUAGGAAAAACUUUGGUCCUAGUUUCAAGAUUACUCAAUUUAAGAGAAACCAUACACUGUUGCAAAGAUCUUUCAAUGUAGUAAUAAGGCAGAAAGUUUGUAGUUUGGGCCCAGUGCCUUGAAAAUUGAUUAGCUUGGUUACUUUCUUUGAAAGUAUCUGAUGGAGCCCUGACAGCCUAAUGAAUCCUUUAGAAAUUAAAAAUAGCAUUAUAGCAAGUUGCUUGUCGUGGCUUGAGGCACUAAACUUUGUCUUUUUGGGUGAGUAGCUGUAGGUUUGAGAGAGGCUGCUGCUCCUAGCUUCUCUGCUCUCAUUUCCUGGGAUACCCUCCUCCCACUGAUUCCUCAGAGGUGCCCUUGUAAUUUGUAGUCUGAUCUAAGAAGCUGUUCUAGAGUCCAAAGCAGCCUCUCGAUGAUAGAUUUGUAUUUAGCUUUUGAAGAUCCUAGUUCUAGGGAAGUUUUUGCACUUAAACAUACUUAUGCUUAAGUGUUUCUUUUUUAUGCUAAUAUUCCCUUCUAGUUGUGAAAAAUCCAUAUUCCCAUGCAAACAGAGAAUGCUAUAUUUUUGACAGCAUUCCAGCAUUUACCAUUUUCACUGACCACUGAGUCAUUGAACAUCUGUCCUUAUUCUUCACCACCCCCAGUCCCAGUACCUGUGUCAGCAAAGGAAGUGGACGCAUUAGUGAUGGUUUUGAGAGUGAUGCAGAGAAAGAGGUGAGUGGAGACUCAGCCUGGCUAUUCUUGAGCUUGGAUAGUUGUACAUGGUGGUGAUCUCUGAUUCUCCUUCCAUCUGUGUACACUGGUACAGAAGAUAUGUGCACUACCCUAGUUAUUGUGUCAAAUAGGAGAAAGAGGAGAUGGGGCGGGAGGAGGGAUUCUUGAAGAAGACAUAAGAACUCUUACAAAGAAUGUAUGUCAUUCCUUCUAGGCCACUACAGUACUGCUCUCUCAGGUUACUAUCAGGCUGCACAGAUUUUAUAACUAGAUGGUUUUUCUUGCCAUUACCCCAGAUCUACCUUCUUAGAUGGCCUCAGCACAUCACUGAUCAUUUUCCAUCUCUUUCUUGCCACUCAUUUUUAUAAUAUUAAUGUCUAUGAUGGCCAUCUGUCUAAUACCUUACCUACAAUUCCUAAGUCUUUGAAUUCUAAUGUACUUCAUGAGAAGACAAUUCUUGUCUUCAUCAUAGUUCAUCCUUGAGGUUUUUAGUAUACCAAGGGUUACUCUAUAGAGUAGUGAGAGUGGUUUCCAAUAACAUGUCAGAUGGUAUGCAUUGCAAAUGAGAUGUCCUUUAAAUUGAGUACUUCUACUUUAAAAUACUAUUUUUCUGAUAGUAUUGCUAUUCCUCCAACCACUGGGAAGUUCCUAUUUCAUCAACUGUGCAAGGAAAUACUGUGUUUCUGUAUUCUGUAUCACAUUUUGGUUUUGACCAUUUGAUUAGCCACUUAGUCACUAGGCUUGAAAUAGAAUAACUUGCUUUCCAAAAUUAACCCUCACACAUGAAAUUAUUCCAUAAGUCUAUUAAAAGAAAACCAUGUGGGUUUUCAUGAAAACUCCCAAGAGAAAUUACACACUUUCACACUGUGAUUAUCCUAGAAAAGGAUAAUAGUUAUGCUGUCUUAUGAUUGGUGUGUUUAAAGAAAUCAGUCAUAGAUUCUUACCUCAUAGAGGUCCACCUUUUUCUGUCAUAAAUUCUUGAUAACAUCUCUCUACCUCCUUGUGGCUCAGCUUUGAUCACAAACAUACCUACAUUUCCUUCACUGAGCCAGUGUAUUUAUUCAUCACUUGUCCUAGUUUCUUGGGUUAAUUUUUACAGGAAUCCUUUUCAUUUUUCUCUUAACCUCUUUCCUUUCCUUUACUCCCUCUCUCCCACAUGUAGAUUAGCAUUUCUAACUCCCUGUACUUUAUAAGAAAUCAGGAACAAGUAUAUUUAGUUCUGCCUGAAUCUUUGCUCCCUGCUGGGGUUGUGCCUUGCCCUCUAUAAAAUAAUAAUUCUGCCUGGGGCCCCUGCUACCUUGUAUCCAAAUAUUACAUAGGAUGGCUAAUUCGUCAGAGGGAAAAUGGGCACAUCUGUGUGUAUACAUCCACUUAUCCCAUAUACUUUCGAGGAACACUUGCCUUCAAUUCCAGUAAAUAUCGAUUUUAGCAGAGCAUCUUAAUGAAAUGUCUGUAUAGUACCUCUUUAGGCACUAGUACCCACAGUAAUGUGUGCCCAGAUUAUUAGAGUCUCAAAAUUACUAAGCAUCUGGCAGAAAUUCAAUCAGAGAAAAGAGCGUCACUUAAAGGCUUUCAAAGCUCAUUCAGCAUAUAUAUGGAAAUAGCCACAUGGUAUCAAAAAUAGUUAUUUUUU